GGGAACGUAGCAAGGAAGCAAACCUGCCAAUCGACCGAGUCGGUGCCUGGAUUUCUUGUGUCUCUUUCGCCUUGCCUUCGAACACGGCCGUCGCCGUCAAUCCGCCUUGGAUCGCUUCUCAUAUAUUCCGCCUCCACCAGUCUGGGCUAAAUAAACGUCCGUUUUCGUUAUUUCUCGCGUUCUGCGCCUGCCUUUGUCUCCUCCACUCGCAGCUGAGCCUAUUCACCCCUCUCUGUGUCCAAUACAGGUUCCUACCAGUGGCCUUUUUGGGUUCUUCGGCCGAUUUGCCAAGCGGCAAGACACCUGCAGUUGCUGCUAGUCCCCCUUUUCCUCCGCUGGUCUUCUCAUUUGAAACAUCGAUUUCUUCCGUUUGUUCGUGUCUCUUUGUUUCUUUCGCUGCACUCUUCUUUCCUCGUCGUCAGGCUACGCGCUUUCCACAUCUCUUCCCCUCUGUCCUCUGAAAGUUUGCCGGCCCGCUGCGUACGGGCUUUUCCCCCCUUCCUGGGAUUCUUUUCAUCGUGCGUGUUUUUCUCGUUGCAACCAUGGUGGGCGUUGCCUUCCCCAGUUCUGCUCCGUCUCUUUUGUCGGAGGGAAACGUCACCGUAGUCCUUUUUCGCGUCGGAUGAGUCAACAGUGCGGAACGCUCGUCCUUUUUGGUAGACUGCGCCCGUCAGAGAAUGCUGUUUCCCCGUCUGUCUCCCCCGUCUGUCGAGCCUCUCCCAAUUUUUGUUCACUCCUGUGGUCUCUGACGAAGCAUCAGCAGAGAUCCACACAGCUUACGCAGUUUCCCA
rnacentral:lncRNA from 1 species